rnacentral:rRNA from 1 species
AUUGAACGCUGGCGGCAUGCUUUACACAUGCAAGUCGGGCGGCAGCGCGGGGGCAACCCUGGCGGCGAGCGGCGAACGGGUGAGUAACACAUCGGAACGUGCCCAAUCGUGGGGGAUAACGUAGCGAAAGCUACGCUAAUACCGCAUACGAUCUACGGAUGAAAGCGGGGGAUCGCAAGACCUCGCGCGAAUGGAGCGGCCGAUGGCAGAUUAGGUAGUUGGUGGGGUAAAGGCUCACCAAGCCGACGAUCUGUAGCUGGUCUGAGAGGACGACCAGCCACACUGGGACUGAGACACGGCCCAGACUCCUACGGGAGGCAGCAGUGGGGAAUUUUGGACAAUGGGCGCAAGCCUGAUCCAGCCAUUCCGCGUGCAGGAUGAAGGCCUUC